UACGUAGGGACCGAGCGUUGUCCGGAAUCAUUGGGCGUAAAGAGCGUGUAGGCGGCCUUUUAAGUCCUGCGUGAAAUCCUGCGGCUCAACCGCAGACGGUCGUGGGAAACUGGAAGGCUAGAGUGCGGGAGAGGAGAGUGGAAUUCCCGGUGUAGCGGUGAAAUGCGCAGAUAUCGGGAAGAACACCCGUGGCGAAGGCGGCUCUCUGGAACGCAACUGACGCUGAGACGCGAAAGCGUGGGGAGCAACAGG
rnacentral:rRNA from 1 species